rnacentral:rRNA from 1 species
CUGCAGCCCGAGUGGUGGUCGAUUUUAUUGAGCCUAAAGCGUCCGUAGCCGGACUAGUAAACCCUUGGGUAAAUUGGGCAGCUUAACUGUCCAAAUUCCGAGGGGACUGCUAGUCUUGGGACCGGGAGAGGUCAGAGGUACUCAAGGGGUAGGGGCUAAAUCCUGUAAUCCUUUGGGGACCACCAGUGGCGAAGGCGUCUGACUAGAACGGAUCCGACGGUAAGGGACGAAACCCUGGGGCGCGAACCGGAUUAGAUACCCGUGUAGUCC